UCCAGCUCCAAUAGCGUAUAUUAAAGUUGUUGCAGUUAGAACGCUCGUAGUCGGAUUUCGGGGCGGUCCGACCGGUCUGCCGAUGGGUACGCACUGGUCGGCGCGUCCUUCCUUCCGGAGACCGUGCCUACUCUUAACUGAGCGGGUGCGGGAGACGGAUCGUUUACUUUGAAAAAAUCAGAGUGUUUCAAGCAGGCAGCUCGCUCUUGCAUGGAUUAGCAUGGGAUAAUGAAAUAGGACUUUGGUGCUAUUUUGUUGGUUUCGAACACCGAAGUAAUGAUUAACAGGGACAGUCAGGGGCACUCGUAUUCCGCCGAGAGAGGUGAAAUUCUUAGACCAGCGGAAGACGAACUACUGCGAAAGCAUUUGCCAGGGAUGUUUUCACUGAUCAAGAACGAAAGUUAGGGGAUCGAAGAGGAUCAGAUACCCUCGUAGUCUUAACCAUAAACCAUGCCGACUAGGGAUUGGGGGAUGUUCACAUAUCGACUCCCUCAGCACCUUACGGGAAACUAAAGUCUUUGGGUUCCGGGGGGAGUGUGGUCGCAAGGCUGAAACUUAAAGGAAUUGACGGAAGGGCACCACCAGGUGUGGAGCCUGCGGCUUAAUUUGACUCAACACGGGGAAACUUACCAGGUCCAGACAUUGUGAGGAUUGACAGAUUGAGAGCUCUUUCUUGAUUCGAUGGGUGGUGGUGCAUGGCCGUUCUUAGUUGGUGGAGUGAUUUGUCUGGUUAAUUCCGUUAACGAACGAGACCUUAGCCUGCUAAAUAGUGACGCGAACACUUCGUUGGCGGUCCACUUCUUAGAGGGACAACUUGUCUUCAACAAGUGGAAGUUUGAGGCAAUAAC
rnacentral:rRNA from 1 species